rnacentral:rRNA from 1 species
CCUACGGGAGGCAGCAGUGGGGAAUAUUGGGCAAUGGGCGCAAGCCUGAACCAGCAACGCCGCGUGAAGGAAGACGGCUUUCGGGUUGUUAACUUCUUUUCACAGGGAAGUAGCAAGUGACGGUACCUGAGGAAUAAGCCACGGCUAACUACGUGCCAGCAGUCGCGGUAAUCCGUCGGCGGCAAGCGUUAUCCGGAUUUACUGGGUGUAAAGGGCGUGUAGGCGGGGACGCAAGUCAGAUGUGAAAACCACGGGCUCAACCUGUGGUUUGCAUUUGACGCUGGGUUUCUUGAGUACUGGAGAGGCAGGCGGAAUUCGUAGUGUAGCGGUGAAAUGCGUAGAUAUUAGGAAGAACACCAGUGGCGAAGGCGGUCUGCUAGACUGCAACUGACGCUGAGGCGCGAAAGCGUGGGGAGCAAACAGGAUUAGAUACCCUUGUAGUC